AGUGAACGCUGGCGGUAGGCCUAACACAUGCAAGUCGAACGGCAGCACAGUAAGAGCUUGCUCUUACGGGUGGCGAGUGGCGGACGGGUGAGGAAUACAUCGGAAUCUACUUUUUCGUGGGGGAUAACGUAGGGAAACUUACGCUAAUACCGCAUACGACCUACGGGUGGAAGCAGGGGAUCUUCGGACCUUGCGCGAUUGAAUGAGCCGAUGUCGGAUUAGCUAGUUGGCGGGGUAAAGGCCCACCAAGGCGACGAUCCGUAGCUGGUCUGAGAGGAUGAUCAGCCACACUGGAACUGAGACACGGUCCAGACUCCUACGGGAGGCAGCAGUGGGGAAUAUUGGACAAUGGGCGCAAGCCUGAUCCAGCCAUACCGCGUGGGUGAAGAAAGCCUUCGGGUUGUAAAGCCCUUUUGUUGGGAAAGAAAAGCAGCAGGUUAAUACCCCGCUGUUCUGACGGUACCCAAAGAAUAAGCACCGGCUAACUUCGUG
rnacentral:rRNA from 1 species